CUCUGACAAAGCCCACCUGAGCAGAGUAAAUACUAGGUGGAAGGAUGGAUACUAAUCUGUUUGCGAACAGUUUAGGAAAAUUAUUUGCAUCAGAUUGUUUUUUUUUUUUUCAUUCUUUAUUUUGUCGUGCAUAUAGAAUACAUAGAUAUGAGCAAUGCCAGAAGAGCUAUUACCCGCCAAGUGAUCGACAUGUAGACAGUUGUAUGGCAUCUAAUAACACUGCACAUUUUAUAAUAUAUUGUGUGCCAGACUAUGCAUAACAUGGGUAAACAGUAACUUGAACGUGGUUUACAGACCUGCAUAACUUUUGGGUCAACAAGUUGGUAGAGGUCAGGUUAGUACUGUGGGUGCCCUUCUGCUCGUGCGGGUUAAGAGAGCAAGCCUGUGCCAAACCCAUUGCAGAAAAAGUGCCACAGUGGGUCGCCCCAAGAAACUGGCUGUUAGAAUCCUAUAGCAAAUUUGAGUAAUAACCACUACUAUGAAAAGCUAUGGGUCCAUGUUUAUCAUACAUGUUAGGCAGGUUAUGAGUUAACUUUUAUAUAUGAGUAGGAGUACAUAGGCCAGCACUUACAGUGCAUGCUAGACAGAUCAAAAGGGCUACAUUUGGGUCUGAAUAUGCUGAAAACAUUAGUGCAGUGCAGGCAUGGUAAUUUCUUGAGGCGUUAUUGCAUUAUUAUUUAAAAUGAGUUAAUGGCAUUAGCUUACUAGGUAUGGCUUGAACUCUAAGGCAUACAGGGCAACGAAGGCAAUGCAUAAAACAGGGUAAAAGUGGUAAUCUAGUCCAAGUGUGUAUAUUCAAUAUUCUGUAGGGGACAGAAGAGUAAUCAAACUUUAAGUUGCCUGUGUGUGCCAGGAGGACACCGGGUGGUGUGGUUACCGCAGGCUUUGCAUGCUUGUUGAGUGUCCUUGUGGGCUGCCUAGCCGAUGCCCCGCUCUGGGAGGUUGCAGGUACAUGUUUGCCAGAGUCCAGCGAGCUGUAUGUGUGGGGUUCUCCAAUACUGGGUUCCGGUGUACUGCUGUGAGCCUGUUGCAUCCGUUCUGCGGUAGAGUGUUGCUGAGGCUCGGGGUCUCCUUGUGUAGCGUGGUCUCCCAGGUUGCUUGGUGUUCUAUGGGAUGGGAGGUUCACUUGGAGGGGGUAUUCUCUGGAGGUGUCGCUGCAUAGGUGUAGGGCGGCAUACCACUGAUCCGAUUUUGCGGUGUCGGGGUUGUCGUUGGUUCCCCGCCUUCUCCCCCCGCUACUCGAGCCGCUCCACGUCCCCAUCCAGGAGCUGCUGGCUGCUGUGUGAGGUUCUGUGGGAUCUUUGCAGGUGGUUCCGUCUCACGGAUUCUCCGGCAAGAGGCAAGAUUGGCCCAGAAGUCGUUUAGUAAGCGAUCAAGCCUCUCCGAUAGAGGGGGCAGCGGGAAACUGGGUGUAGAGUUGUGUGUGGUGUCCGCCAUGCUGUGCCCCGCUCGUUCAGCAAUGCUGGUAUAGCAACAUGAGGCGUCCGCCAUUUUGUGGACUUUAGAGGCUUCCUCCGAACUUAGUGCUUGUUCCCCUCGGGGGCAGCUUGACCAGGUGCUCAAGUGGGGCCGGCCUGGGAUAACCCCUGCCGGGGCCAUGGAGGGGGGAACAAGGGCUCCCUGUCGGGUGUCCUGUCAUUUUUAACAGCAGGAGAGCGUCCAUCUCACCCGCGUGUGCCAUGUUAAGAGGUUGUUAAAGGGUGUCGAGUGUGUGUCGCUUGUCAGGUAUCUGUGCGUACUCCCCGAUGUACCCUUGCUCCGGGUGGCCUUAGUUUCUUGUUUUUUCUCUGUGUUUGCGAUUUAUGUCGCUUAAUAUGGUCCCUUCAAACAGAGCUGUUGAGGCAAGCAUCCUCUCUGCUCCACGAUCAGGCCCCGCCUCUCUGCAUCAGAUUUUAAUAAGGAUAUUGAUCUAAAGUUUGAGCGAGGAUGGAAGAGAACCGUUUGCAAUAUAGUUUUGUGAAGCCUUUCCGCUCGGGCGCAUUGUGAG
rnacentral:lncRNA from 1 species